rnacentral:rRNA from 1 species
UACGAAGGGGGCUAGCGUUGCUCGGAAUCACUGGGCGUAAAGCGCACGUAGGCGGAUCUUUAAGUCAGGGGUGAAAUCCCGAGGCUCAACCUCGGAACUGCCUUUGAUACUGGGGAUCUCGAGUCCGGGAGAGGUGAGUAGAACUGCGAGUGUAGAGGUGAAAUUCGUAGAUAUUCGCAAGAACACCAGUGGCGAAGGCGGCUCACUGGCCCGGAACUGACGCUGAGGUGCGAAAGCGUGGGGAGCAAACAGG